GAUGAACGCUGGCGGCGUGCCUAACACAUGCAAGUCGAGCGAAGCGGGGACGGGGGAGUAACACGUGGAUGACAUCCUAUAAGACUGGGAUAACUUCGGGAAACCGGAGCUCAACCCGAAACUUAUAGAUGGUGCCGCGCUGGAUUAGCUAGUUGGUAAGGUAACGGCUUACCAAGGCAACGAUGCAUAGCCGACCUGAGAGGGUGAUCGGCCACACUGGAACUGAGACACGGUCCAGACUCCUACGGGAGGCAGCAGUGGGGAAUAUUCCGCAAUGGGCGAAAGCCUGACGGAGCAACGCCGCGUGGGUGAUGAAGGUCUUCGGAUCGUAAAACUCUGUUAGUAGGGAGGCGUUACCCACACAGAAAGCCACGGCUAACUACGUGCCAGCAGCCGCGGUAAUUC
rnacentral:rRNA from 1 species